GCGGGAGUGGUGGAAUGGCAGACACGCCGGCUUUAGGUGCCGGUGUCCUCGGACGUGCGGGUUCAAGUCCCGCCUCCCGCACCA
rnacentral:tRNA from 1 species